GGGUUGCUAACUCAACGGUAGAGUACUCGGCUUUUAACCGACUAGUUUCGGGUUCGAGUCCCGGGCAACCCA
rnacentral:tRNA from 1 species